rnacentral:misc_RNA from 1 species
GCGUCGCGCCGGCGAAGUCGC